rnacentral:rRNA from 1 species
AGUGAACGCUGGCGGUAGGCCUAACACAUGCAAGUCGAACGGCAGCACAGUAAGAGCUUGCUCUUACGGGUGGCGAGUGGCGGACGGGUGAGGAAUACAUCGGAAUCUACUUUUUCGUGGGGGAUAACGUAGGGAAACUUACGCUAAUACCGCAUACGACCUACGGGUGAAAGCAGGGGAUCUUCGGACCUUGCGCGAUUGAAUGAGCCGAUGUCGGAUUAGCUAGUUGGCGGGGUAAAGGCCCACCAAGGCGACGAUCCGUAGCUGGUCUGAGAGGAUGAUCAGCCACACUGGAACUGAGACACGGUCCAGACUCCUACGGGAGGCAGCAGUGGGGAAUAUUGGACAAUGGGCGCAAGCCUGAUCCAGCCAUACCGCGUGGGUGGAGAAGGCCUUCGGGUUGUAAAGCCCUUUUGUUGGGAAAGAAAAGCAGCAGGUUAAUACCCCGCUGUUCUGACGGUACCCAAAGAAUAAGCACCGGCGAACUUCGG